UCACCUGUGGUCUGGUAGACCAGGAGGACGGCCAGGAACACGUUCACAUACAGUGGAUAGAUGAUGACCUCAACUUCAAUAAGGGAGUGAUCAGUCCUAUCGAUGGGAAGUCUAUGGAGUCCAUCACCAGUGUGAAGGUCUUCCACGGGUCAGAGUUCAAGGCCAAUGGGAAGGUCAUCCGCUGGACAGAGGUCUUCUUCCUCCAGAGUGAC